GCACAAUAUGGCCAAAUAGAAUGCUCCAGUAAUUGUCCUCACCCUACAAAGACAACAAACUGAACAAAAAUGUACACAAGAAAGCACCUUUAUAAGGACCAAAAAUCAGGUCUUAGUUCCAGAGGGAGGAACUCUGCCACCAGGAGACACAACAAGGCUAAGAAGGGAAUUACAGUGUUGGCUGGAGUGAUUGACCUGGACUACAAGAUGAAAGUCUACUACUUCACAACAGAGGUACCAUGGCUCACACUUGCAAUCCCAGCACUUUGAGAAGUCAAGGCGCAAGAGGAUAACUUGAGGUCAGGAGUUCAAGACCAGCCUGGCCAAUAUGGUGAAACUCCAUCUCUACUAAAAAUACAAAAAUUACCUACUGUGGAGGAUGAAGCACUAGAAUGGCUUGAACUCAAGAGGCAGAAUUUGCAAUGAGCUGAGAUCACACUACUGCACUUCAGCUAGGUCUUACAUAUUCACCAGAUAAAAUGUACAACUACCAAUUGCCUGUCCAGUAAUUUUUCUGGGAGUUGCUAUCUCUCAAUGAACAUAGAAAGAUGGAUGAGUUUAAGAAUACUCUGUUUGUCUCACAAAGUAGCACCUUCACAGUAGAGACAUGGUUGUCUAGAAUUCUGGUUAUUGUAGAUCCUAGGAUUCUGAAUGGGCCAUAACUGAGUUGGUUAACCUCACUUCUACUCACAGAUGAUCUUACUUUCAUGAGGUAGACUUUUUCUAGUUUCUUAAUCUAGUCUCAUUAGCCCAUAUAUUGGCCUUCAUUUUAUCUUUUUUAAAAUUUUUGUCUCUUUUUAAUUUUUUUAUUGCUUUGCAUGUUCUUAGAAUUUUCUACAGGUUUAUAAUAAUUUAUAGGAUAUCUGGAGCGAUUUAGUCAGAAACUAAAGAUCAGAUAUAUUUUAAUCUAGAAAUUUCCAAUUAAUUAUUCAACAUAGCAUAUGUCACAAGUGUAUAAAAGAAGUAUCCAUAAACAAAUAAAUGGGUGAAAAACGGUGGUUGCCAGGGGUUGGGGCUGGUGGAAACAGGGAGAUGCUGGUUAGUGGGUAAAAACUUUCAGUUAUAAGCUGAAUAAGCUAUUGGGAGAAGCAUGGUAAUAAUAGCUAAUAAUAAUAAUACAUUGUUUACUUGAUAUUUGCAAAGUGAGUAGAUUGUGUUUCCACCACACACACACGCACGCCAAUGAUAACUAAUUGUGAUGAUGGAUGUGUCAGUUGAAUUGACUGUGGCAAUCAUUUCACAAUGGAUACAUGUAUAAAAUAAUCAUGUAUACCUUGAAUAUAUAUAAUUUUUAUCUGUCUAUUAUGCCUUAAUAAAGCUGAAAAAAUAAA